rnacentral:rRNA from 1 species
CCUACGGGAGGCAGCAGUGGGGAAUAUUGCACAAUGGGGGAAACCCUGAUGCAGCGACGCCGCGUGCGUGAAGAAGUACUUCGUUACGUAACGCUCUAUCAGCAGGGAAGAAAAUGACGGUACCUGCGUAAGAAGCCCCGGCUAACUACGUGCCAGCCUCCGCGGUAAUACGUAGGGGGCACGCGUUAUCCGGAUUUACUGGGUGUAAAGGGAGCGUAGACGGUGCGCCAAGUCUGGAGGGAAAUGCCGCAGCUUAACUGCGGAACUGCUUUGGAAACUGGCGAACUAGAGUGCGGGAGGGGUAAGCGGAAUUCCUAGUGUAGCGGUGAAAUGCGUAGAUAUUAGGAGGAACACCGGUGGCGAAGGCGGCUUACUGGACCGUAACUGACGUUGAGGCUCGAAAGCGUGGGGAGCAAACAGGAUUAGAUACCCUUGUAGUC